CUAGUUCAUAAAGGCAUUGCAGUGUUUGCUUUGGUCCUUUGGAUCACUCACACUGAAAGAAGCCACCGGCCCAAGUCAGGCAGCUCUGUGGAGACACCCAUGUGGGGAGGAAGCCAGAUCUCCCACUAACGGCCAGCACCAAUUUACUAGUAGUGUGAAUGAGCCACUCUAGAAGCAGAUCCUCCAGUCCCAGUCAAGCCUUCAGAUGGCUGCAGCCCCAGCUGACAUCGUCACCAUGUCAUGUCUCUCACGAGAGACUCCAAGCCAAACCCUUCCAGCUAAGCUGCUACCAGAUUCUUGACCUGAAGAGACUAUGAGCUAGACUUUGUCAUGAGAAGGAGCAAAGAAUGUUCUCCUAAUUCCCGAAGUUGGGUCUUUACAUCUCAAGGGCCACGCCCGGUGGCACCUGAUCAUCAAGUUUGCUCAUCUAAAUCAUGGACUAUGAAAGGAGGAUCAUACUUGUCAGAUCAUCUCUUGAGGCUUUUCAAAAAUGUCCCAAUUUAAGGAAAACCCAAGGAUCUAGCAUUUACCAUUCCAGUUCAACUGGGAAAAAAGAAGAGAAGGAAGGCAGAGAAAAGAAAAGAACAUACAAUGUCCAGAUAAUAGUAUGGAACGCUCAAAGAUGCAUCUUUGAAGAGCAUGGAGCUCCAGACAGGUUCUGACCUGUGUGAACUCUCUCUCACGCUGCUAGAAGAUAGCUCAGAGAAAUGGUUCUGAGGUAACAUCACCAGAAACAUGUUGGAAGAAAGGAAAGGGACAGCCUCAUUUUCCAGCAUUGCCCAGAUUCAUCAGGACGCAAACCAGGACUGCAUUGUCAACUCACAAGGUGAUGUUUGAAAACAGCAGGAGACAGAAGCUAAGAGGUCUGUCUUCUCAGUUAAUGUAUCAGUGCUAUUAUGGAGAGAUGCCCAUUCUGUUAGGCUCUUUGUGGACUAGCACAAGUUGUGCAUAGAGGCCAGCCAAGUACACAAGUGUGUUAAAAGGGUGAGGCCGAACCUGGCCCAAAGUAUCACCUUUUGAAGUUACUCUUGGCUACAGUUUUCAUUAAU